rnacentral:rRNA from 1 species
AGCGAACGCUGGCGGCAGGCCUAACACAUGCACGUCGAACGAAGCCUUCGGGCUUAGUGGCGGACGGGUGAGUAACACGUGGGAACGUACCUUUUGGUUCGGAAUAACGCAGAGAAAUUUGCGCUAAUACCGAAUGAGCCCUUCGGGGGAAAGAUUUAUCGCCGAAAGAUCGGCCCGCGUUGGAUUAGGUAGUUGGUGUGGUAAAGGCGCACCAAGCCUACGAUGCAUAGCUUGUAUGAGAGGAUGAUCAGCCACACUGGGACUGAGACACGGCCCAGACUCCUACGGGAGGCAGCAGUGGGUAAUCUUGCGCAAGGGGCGAAAGCCCGACGCAGCCAUGCCGCGUGAAUGAUGAAGGUCUUAGGAUUGUAAAAUUCUUUUACCAGGGACGAUAAUGACGGUACCUGGAGAAAAAGCCCCGGCUAACUUCGUGCCAGCAGCCGCAGUAACAC